CAGAACUGCCAGUAUGCUGUUCCCCAGUUUAACAUAAUAGAUAGAUAGAUGUUUUAUUUAUUUUUUAUGUUAGCUGACGUAUGUCGUCAUUGCCGCGACGUGUCUUCUCAUUGGUUACGACCUUCUGGGAGGAGCCAAGUGGAGAAACGAAGCCUGAAAACAGAUUUGAACCAUUGCUUCUGUUUGCUGGUCCUGUGAGAAAAUGUCGUUACCGAAGAGGCAUGGAUAUUAAAACUAAAAGCUAAAACAAUUUCUGGAGCAGUUUUUGUCAAACACGAGUGAGACUGGACGCUGAACACAUCUGCAGCGCAAAGGUUUACUGAUUCAGCUGCUGCAGCCUGGACAGAAUCACCAGCUCUCACCUUACAAACCAAACAGGUGUCACCACUUUGUCUAUGAUCGCAGAGAGUCUUCGUACAUUGAAGAAAUUCUUUCAGACCAAGACAGAGG